rnacentral:lncRNA from 1 species
CCAGCGGGAAGGCAGGAGGCGGUGGAGGAGGAGGAGCUCUACUGAGCCGCAACAGUGGUGACAGCAAACGGAGUCGCAGCCGCCGCCACCUGCACCUGGCGCCUAGCCCACCUCCAGCGCCUGCCCGGCCGUCGCUUCCCGCCACCCUGCCCUGCCCACCCGCCAGGUACUACCAUUAAAGAUACCUUCUUCUCAGCAAAUCUAUGAUAAAAAAUACAAGUAACAGAAGAAGAAAUAACUGUUAUUUGUCAAGUGACAAGCUUUUAAUGUUAGAAUGGCUCACCUAAAGCGACUAGUAAAAUUACACUUUAAAAGACAUUACCAUAAAAAGUUCUGGAAGCUUGGUGCAGUAAUUUUUUUCUUUAUAAUAGUUUUGGUUUUAAUGCAAAGAGAAGUAAGUGUUCAAUAUUCCAAAGAGGAAUCAAGGAUGGAAAGGAAUAUGAAAAACAAAAACAAGAUGUUGGAUUUAAUGCUAGAAGCUGUAAACAAUAUUAAGGAUGCCAUGCCAAAAAUGCAAAUAGGAGCACCUGUCAGGCAAAACAUUGAUGCUGGUGAGAGACCUUGUUUGCAAGGAUAUUAUACAGCAGCAGAAUUGAAGCCUGUCCUUGACCGUCCACCUCAGGAUUCAAAUGCACCUGGUGCUUCUGGUAAAGCAUUCAAGACAACUAAUUUAAGUGUUGAAGAGCAAAAGGAAAAGGAACGUGGGGAAGCUAAACACUGCUUUAAUGCUUUCGCAAGUGACAGGAUUUCUUUGCACCGAGAUCUUGGACCAGACACUCGACCUCCUGAAUGUAUUGAACAAAAAUUUAAGCGCUGCCCUCCCCUGCCCACCACCAGUGUCAUAAUAGUUUUUCAUAAUGAAGCGUGGUCCACGUUGCUUAGAACUGUCCACAGUGUGCUCUAUUCUUCACCUGCAAUACUGCUGAAGGAAAUCAUUUUGGUAGAUGACGCUAGUGUAGAUGAGUACUUACAUGAUAAACUAGAUGAAUAUGUAAAACAAUUUUCUAUAGUAAAAAUAGUCAGACAAAGAGAAAGAAAAGGUCUGAUCACUGCUCGGUUGCUAGGAGCAACAGUCGCAACAGCUGAAACGCUCACAUUUUUAGAUGCUCACUGUGAGUGUUUCUAUGGUUGGCUAGAACCUCUGUUGGCCAGAAUAGCUGAGAACUACACGGCUGUCGUAAGUCCAGAUAUUGCAUCCAUAGAUCUGAACACGUUUGAAUUCAACAAACCUUCUCCUUAUGGAAGUAACCAUAACCGUGGAAAUUUUGACUGGAGUCUUUCAUUUGGCUGGGAGUCGCUUCCUGAUCAUGAGAAGCAAAGAAGGAAAGAUGAAACCUACCCAAUUAAAACACCCACUUUUGCAGGAGGACUUUUUUCCAUAUCAAAAGAAUAUUUUGAGUAUAUUGGAAGUUAUGAUGAAGAAAUGGAAAUCUGGGGAGGUGAAAAUAUAGAAAUGUCUUUCAGAGUAUGGCAAUGUGGUGGGCAGUUGGAGAUUAUGCCUUGCUCUGUUGUUGGACAUGUUUUUCGCAGCAAAAGCCCUCAUAGCUUUCCAAAAGGCACUCAGGUGAUUGCUAGAAACCAAGUUCGCCUUGCAGAAGUCUGGAUGGAUGAAUACAAGGAAAUAUUUUAUAGGAGAAAUACAGAUGCAGCAAAAAUUGUUAAACAAAAAGCAUUUGGUGAUCUUUCAAAAAGAUUUGAAAUAAAACACCGCCUUCAGUGUAAAAAUUUUACAUGGUAUCUGAACAACAUUUAUCCAGAGGUGUAUGUGCCAGACCUUAAUCCUGUCAUAUCUGGAUAUAUUAAAAGCGUUGGUCAGCCUCUAUGUCUGGAUGUUGGAGAAAACAAUCAAGGAGGCAAACCAUUAAUUAUGUAUACGUGUCAUGGACUUGGGGGAAACCAGUACUUUGAAUACUCUGCUCAACAUGAAAUUCGGCACAACAUCCAGAAGGAAUUAUGUCUUCAUGCUGCUCAAGGUCUCGUUCAGCUGAAGGGAUGUACCUACAAAGGUCACAAGACAGUUGUCACUGGAGAGCAGAUAUGGGAGAUCCAGAAGGAUCAACUUCUAUACAAUCCAUUCUUUAAAAUGUGCCUUUCAGCAAAUGGAGAGCAUCCAAGUUUAGUGUCAUGCAACCCAUCAGAUCCACUCCAAAAAUGGGAAGAAUCCACAAGCCUCAGAGCCAACCAGAUCAUCACACUGAGGAAGAAAUAGACUAGGGAUUCUUCAUCAUGAUCUUUAAAGAGCAACCAUGCUGACACCAUAAGAGCUCCAAGAUGUUGCCUGCAUCCUUUGACUAAUGGCUCUCUCCUCCAUCUUCAAAGUGCAUCAGUCUUACCUCUGGCUUUAUCAUCACAUCUUUUUCUGAUUUUGAUCCUCUUGCUUCCCUCUCAUAAGGGUCCUUAUGAUAACAUUGUGACCACCUGCAUAACCAAAAUAACCUUCCUU